rnacentral:rRNA from 1 species
CGCCUCCCUCCGCCGCCAUCAGACUCCGUACGGGAGGCGAGCAGGUGGGGUAAGUUUUGGUACUAAGUGGGACGGAAACGGCCGUGACUCCAGCAAUGCCGCGUGUGUGAAGAGGCUCGGUUGUAAGCACUUUGUCAGGGAAGAAAAGGAUUCUACUAAUACUGGAGUCUGAUGACGGUACCUGAAGAAUAAGCACCGGCUAACUACGUGCCAGCAGCCGCGGUAAUAC